rnacentral:sRNA from 1 species
UUUCUUAUCUUUUAGCAACUUAUUGUAUACAUUAUAAACAUUGAUUAAGCCCACAAGCAUUAUUCGGGAUUGUGAGAAAUUAAUCAAAAUGAAAAUUGUCAGCGUAUUACUUGCCAUUUUCUUGAUCAUGGCCAUUACAAGGAUGUCUACUGGCUUUCCACUUACGACGGAUGAUUGGUUCCCCAGCACGAUGCCACCCACUACUCGUCUCAGCGACUUGUGUGGCGGAUGCCCUGCUGGUGAAUACUGCAUGACACUUCACGACCAUACUUGUGUCACUGGCUUCCAGUGUUUACCGCCUUCUCACGUCUGCGUUCCUUGGAUAGUUUAAAGUCACGACCUGGUGUUGUAGUGAAACAAAUAAUGUAUAUACCUGCUGUCUCAAAAACAAAACAAAAAAAUCCAGUCAGGCAUAUAAUGAAUAAAUUUUGCUAAUAAAUAUCA